CAGUCGCCGCGGGAAUACGUAGGUGGCAAGCGUUGUCCGGAAUUAUUGGGCGUAAAGGGCUCGCAGGCGGUUUCUUAAGUCUGAUGUGAAAGCCCCCGGCUCAACCGGGGAGGGUCAUUGGAAACUGGGAAACCUGAGUGCAGAAGAGGAGAGUGGAAUUCCACGUGUAGCGGUGAAAUGCGUAGAGAUGUGGAGGAACACCAGUGGCGAAGGCGACUCUCUGGUCUGUAACUGACGCUGAGGAGCGAAAGCGUGGGGAGCGAACAGGAUUAGAUACCCCCGUAGUCCCUGUCUCUUAUAC
rnacentral:rRNA from 1 species